AUUGAACGCUGGCGGAAUGCUUUACACAUGCAAGUCGAACGGCAGCACGGGGCAACCUGGUGGCGAGUGGCGAACGGGUGAGUAAUACAUCGGAACGUGCCCAAUCGUGGGGGAUAACGUAGCGAAAGUUACGCUAAUACCGCAUACGAUCUACGGAUGAAAGCGGGGGAUCGCAAGACCUCGCGCGAAUGGAGCGGCCGAUGUCAGAUUAGGUAGUUGGUGGGGUAAAGGCUCACAAAGCCAACGAUCUGUAGCUGGUCUGAGAGGCCGACCAGCCACACUGGGACUGAGACACGGCCCAGACUCCUACGGGAGGCAGCAGUGGGGAAUUUUGGACAAUGGGCGCAAGCCUGAUCCAGCCAUUCCGCGUGCAGGAUGAAGGCCUUCGGGUUGUAAACUGCUUUUGUACGGAACGAAACGGUUCUCUCUAAUACAGGGGGCUAAUGACGGUACCGUAAGAAUAAGCACCGGCUAACUACGUGCCAGCAGCCGCAGUAACAC
rnacentral:rRNA from 1 species